CCUGAGACUCAUACGUGCUUGCGCGGCAAAACGGCAACACAGGAGUUAUUUAGACAGCCAGGGUUUUAAACAUCAUUUGUACAAUGUUUAAAAUUUUGUAUACAUUGUAGAAGUGCUUCCUUCGGGUUGCCGUGAUUUCCUUGCCCUGUCUAGGACCUACUGUGGUGUUUGUCUUCACAAGAGCCUGCGGUGGAAAAAAAAAAAAAAGUGAUGCUUCGAGGCUGGCAGUACCUCUGCAGACCCACCAGAUGGCGACUGUGGGAAGGAUGCCGAGCAGGACAAGAGAGGAAAAACUCCGUCAGGAGGGGUCAGGGCUUCCUGUAUGGAGGACCCGUCCGGAACAAUGCGCAUGCGAGGAGGUACUUCUCUGCUGCAAAGGGUUUUUGGGCCUCGGAUAUAAAAAAAAGAAAUCCGCGUUAGUAGCAGCCACCGGGUGCAUAGCCUGCGGUGAAAAAAAAAAAAAAAGUGAUGCUUCGAGGCUGGCAGUACCUCUGCAGACCCACCAGAUGGCGACUGUGGGAAGGAUGCCGAGCAGGACAAGAGUGGAAAAACUCCGUCAGGAGGGGUCAGGGCUUCCUGUAUGGAAGACCCGUCCGGAACAAUGCGCAUGCGAGGAGGCCCGAACGGAGACAUUUCCUGGGUGCCAGUGAAUCACAGACCUUGAGGCCAGGGAGACAGCCUAAACUACAUAUAUGUGUAUAAAAGGGUCUCUGCGUCAAUGCAUGUUUUCUUGGUUAUGUGUGUGUAUAUAUAUAUAUAUAUAUAUAUAUAUAUAUAUAUAUAUAUAUAUAUAUAUAUAUAUAUAUAUAUAUAAACCCUGAUACUCAUACGUGCUUGCGCGGCAAAACGGCAACACAGGAGUUAUUUAGACAACCAGAGUUUUAAACAUCAUUUGUACAAUGUUUAAAAUUUUGUAUACAUUGUAGAAGUGCUUCCUACGGGAUGCCGUGAUUUCAUUGCCCCGUCUAGGACCUACUGUGGUGUUUGUCUUCACAAGAGCCUGCGGUGGAAAAAAAAAAAAAAGUGAUGCUUCGAGGCUGGCAGUACCUCUGCAGACCCACCAGAUGGCGACUGUGGGAAGGAUGCCGAGCAGGACGAGAGAGGAAGAACUCCGUCAGGAAGGGUCAGGGCUUCCUGUCUGGACGACCCGUCCGGAACAAUGCGCAUGCGAGGAGGUACUUCUCUGCUGCAAAGGGUUUUUGGGGCUCGGAUGAAAAAAAAGAAAUCCGCGUUAGGAGCAGCCACCGGGUGCAUGACCUACUGUGGUGUUUGUCUUCACUAGAGCCUGCGGUGGAAAAAAAAAAAAAGUGAUGCUUCGAGGCUGGCAGUACCUCUGCAGACCCACCAGAUGGCGACUGUGGAAAGGAUGCCAAGCAGGACAAGAGAGGAAAAACUCCGUCAGGAGGGGUCAGGGCUUCCUGUAUGGAGGACCCGUCCGGAACAAUGCGCAUGCGAGGAGGUACUUCUCUGCUGCAAAGGGUUUUUGGGCCUCGGAUGAAAAAAAAGAAAUCCGCAUAAGGAGCAGCCACCGGGUGCAUGCCCGAACGCAGACAUCUCCUGGGGGCCAAUGAAUCACAGACCUUGAGGCCAGGGAGACAGACUAAAUUACAUG